rnacentral:lncRNA from 1 species
AGGCUUAAGUACUGUUAGCCAGGUUGGCAACAUGCCUUAAUGUGAUUCUAUUGGCUAUUAUAGCAAAGAUUUUGUCCUACAGAACAAUCUUGAAAGAACACACCUAUAUGAGCUCCGAUUGUAAAACGUCGCAAUCUAGGAGAUUUAGGUAAUCUCUAGUAAGCUCAUGAAGAGACCAAGGAGUACGACGUAUGUGCUCCAAACCGCGGGGUAGCCUACUGGCAGCCAGGUACUGGUUAAGACUUUGAGUGAAACCUGUUCACACAAAACUAGCAAUUCAAGACAUAGUCCAUUGUCAAGUUGUGGAUGGAUGUAGCUUAAAGUUCGAGGAAGAAGUUCAACUUAACUGUCUCUGCUGAAACACUGGUAUAUUAAACAAGUGGAGAGACAAGGAAAAUCUCUAAAUGGGUAUUUGAGAUCUGGUGGGGGAUUGUUAGAAUUAAAUGGGCUUGGCCCAUCUACAAAAUUCUGAAUUCUCAAAUUGAGCCCACGAAUAAAAUGACAAGUGGUGGUGCUAAAGUUUAGUCCCAUACCGCUAGUGGAGGAAGUGUUGGACCUCUUUAUAUAGUGAGUUCUCCCCACCACUCUAAGUGUGUGUUGAGAAGAGAAAGGAGAGAACCACACGCGCGCUCGCUCGCCUCACCUGGCCGGGCAGGGCGGCGCGUACGUGUGGCAUACGCGUGAAUGGUUCGCCAAAUUUUGGUCUGAUGCCUUGCGGGGGCGCGGCUCUCUUUUGUCAUUUUAUUUUUAUGUCUUGGCAAACAAGUUAAUUUUUGAGACGUGAUCGCGACACGGAACCGACCUUGGUCCUUCUAUAUAUACAAGUUAUCGGGGUCGGCCAAAGACACACCGAAAACCAUCUAGGGUUUUGCCUCGUCUCAUAACUUGCGCCGCCAUCGUAGUCUACCUCAUCCCGAGCGCCGGUGUGCAACGGCGAACGGGACAGCAGGUCUCCGGAACCAGUCGCCUUUGCGAUCCUAUACGGGAGAAGGCGAAUUAGGUACGUGCGUUGUGUUCCCGUCAGCCUGAUGAACAUGUUAGAUGCGUACAUGUUUUGCUAUACGGUCUUGCUGCUAUUCAUGUUGUCUCCUACAUCUCGUAUGUUAGAGUUUCACAUGUUAAUAGCUAGUAUCGUCAUGCUUUAUAUUCUGAAAUUAAUCAUAAAAAUUAUGCCUAAUUACUCAAUAGAAAUCCCUAAAUCCUUCAUCCCCACACUAGAGCUACGCAGCCAGAGUGGCCGGCGAGAGCCUGACGACAAAUUAAGCGGCCAAGAAGGUAACGGACCAGCGGAGCGGCGGAGACGAGCUUCAUCAACAUUAGUGGACUAGUGCUCCAUAGAGGGUAUCAGGACUGGGUUAUUAAGCCCAUCUAGUUUUUUUAAAUUAAUCUUGCUUCUAUUCCAGGAGCUAUGAUAUAAAAGUAAACUGAAGCAUCAGUAUGGAUUUGGUCUCCCCCAAAAUCUCACAAUAGCUAAAUUUAGAGAAGGCGGACAAUAUAUAUGAUGCAGAAUUCGAAGUGGUGGUGAAAUGAUAUCUC